UCCCCCAAGAGUCCACAUCGACGGGGAGGUUUGGCACCUCGAUGUCGCCACAUCGCAUCCUGGGGCUGUAGUCCGUCCCAAGGGUUGGGCUGUUCGCCCAUUAAAGCGGUACGCGACCUGGGUUCAGAACGUCGUGAGACAGUUCGGUCCCUAACCGUCGAGCCCCUAGGAAAAUUGAGAGCAGCUGUCCUUAGUACGCGAGGACCGGGAUCGACGCACCGCUGCUGUACCAGAAGUUCUGC
rnacentral:rRNA from 1 species